rnacentral:rRNA from 1 species
AGUGAACGCUGGCGGCGUGCUUAACACAUGCAAGUCGAACGAGAACGGAAUAUAGCUUGCUAUAUUUGUCAGCUAAGUGGCGCACGGGUGAGUAAUGUAUAGAUAACCUGCCCUUAAGAAAGGAAUAACAGUUGGAAACGACUGCUAAUGCCCUAUAUGCCUUUAAUACAUAAGUAUGCAAGGGAAACGCUUUAGUGCUUAAGGAUGGGUCUGUAUGGUAUCAGCUUGUUGGUGAGGUAAUGGCUCACCAGGGCUAUGACGCCUAACUGGUUUGAGAGGAUGAUCAGUCACACUGGAACUGAGACACGGUCCAGACUCCUACGGGAGGCAGCAGUGGGGAAUAUUGCACAAUGGACGAAAGUCUGAUGCAGCAACGCCGCGUGGAGGAUGACACAUUUCGGUGCGUAAACUCCUUUUAUAUAGGAAGAUAAUGACGGUACUAUAUGAAUAAGCACCGGCUAACUCCGUGCCAGCAGCCGCCGUAC